rnacentral:piRNA from 1 species
UAGAACUCUGAAAUGAAUCCAGUCUU